ensembl:lncRNA
CUAGAUUACGUGGCCCUGGCRGCGAAGAGGAAAUCAGAUGGCAUCUUGUCUCAGUGCCUGCAGCACAUCCGUCUGAACAGUUGUGAAGAACGAAAGCUAGAAGGUUUGCAAGAGGCAGAUGACUUUGAGAGAGUUCAGAAAAAAAUUGUUCCUGGUGAAAUGGAAAGGGCAGAGAAGGUUGAGCAGCUGGAGAGGAUUGUCUUGGAGCUCCAACAGGAUGUCCUCACUCUGAAGAGGAAGGUGCAGAGGCUGGAAUCCCUGUCUUUCCAGGAGGAACCUCACCGACMGCCAUGCGAGGUGGUGGAGCUCUUCAAUGGCUACACAAGGGAACAGCUCAAAGAGGCCAUCCGCUUUGACCAGAAAAUCAGCACAGCCUGCAAGACACUCCUCUACAAGCUUUUCACGUCCGACUAUAUCCAGAGCCACUCCAUCACCGGGCGGAGGGGCAACACKUUCCGAGAGGCAAAACCCAUGAUGGACGAACGAUGCAUCAAAAUCAUUCGGGUGCUGUUGAAGCAGAAGUUUGGAGAUCACCUCAGUGACACGGUGAUCACAGAGAAGAUACAAAACGUGCAGAAAGCCCUGAGGCAGAAAUUUAAGACAGAAUGUCUCUGAUGCAUGGAGGAUUUGGUGUCUCUGCUCCUGCCACACUCAUCAGUGUACCUGAGUCCAUACUGCUGCUGCUUUGUAGACUCCCUGCCAGGAACCAGCCCAAGUGAACCAUGUAUUAAACACAUCACAAGCCUUUCAAUGCCAAACAUCUGCCUGCAGUAACCCUGCAAGAAGCUUGCCCAGCUUUGCUAGAACUUUGCACAUCUGCUGGCACAUUACAAGUCAUGUCUCCUCUUGUGUGCAUGCAGAUCUCACUCUGGGGUCCCUGUGAUCAUCUCCAGGCCUUUUUGGUUAACAGUCAAAUGGCUUGAUUGCUGCUGGAUCCAAAUAUGKGUUGGUAAACCAGCCUUGUUCCACUUUUCCUUCUGAAACAUAAUUCUGCAGACCUCUUGGGAACCAGACAGUAAAACUGAGAUACGGUCAGGGCUGAAACUCUAGGAAACUUGAAGUUCUCUCUUUUCUUCCCWCCUAUACUGCAGAAAGUCUGUAUGUCAGCUCCAGCUCAAAUGGAGAUGUGCACUCUACCCUCUUCGCUAAUGUGCAUUUCUUCCUCUGUCUGACAAUCCUGGUUAAGAACGAGGAGGGCAGGAGCGGUGAGGGAGAACCACCACUGACCAAGGAAAAGGUUGUCACUGGACACUUCCCAGGCAUCAUUUUYCUACCACGUGAGGACUGAGACGUGGAUGCUCCACAGGGCUCCCCUUCCCGCAGGUCAGGGAGAAGGGUCGGCUUUGGGCGAGUAGUGUAACCCCAAAGAAAGCGAUGACCUCCAGCUGCAGAUGGACUUUGUGUCGCUCCACACAGCUCCCCGCAUGGCCAGGGCUGCCGGCUUCUGCUUGUGGGACAGUAUUAGCUCCCUUUGCUCCCAGUGAAUGCAUUUUACAAUUCCCUGUGGUAACAGAAAGGCAGACUCAAUAAAACAACUCCAUAAAACCUUCA